rnacentral:rRNA from 1 species
CUCGUAGGCGGCCAACUAAGUCAGACGUGAAAUCCCUAGGCUCAACCUAGGAACUGCGUCUGAUACUGGAUGGCUUGAAUCCGGGAGAGGGAUGCAGAAUUCCAGGUGUAGCGGUGAAAUGCGUAGAUAUCUGGAGGAAUACCGGUGGCGAAGGCGGCAUCCUGGACCGGCAUUGACGCUGAGGAGCGAAAGCCAGGGGAGCAAA